rnacentral:tRNA from 3 species
GGAGAAGUACCCAAGAGGCCGAAGGGGAGGCUUUGCUAAAGCUUUAGGCCGGGCAACUGGCGCGGGGGUUCGAAUCCCCCCUUCUCCGCCA